ACGCUCGACACCUGCAGCAGUCGGGAAUAUUGCGCAAUGGAGGAAACUCUGACGCAGUGACGCCGCGUGCAGGAAGAAGGUUUUCGGAUUGUAAACUGCUUUAGACAGGGAAGAAAGAAAUGACAGUACCUGUAGAAUAAGCUCCGGCUAACUACGUGCCAGCAGCCGCGGUAAUCUGAGCGGGCUGGCAAGGC
rnacentral:rRNA from 1 species